UUUUACCAAAAACAUGUCUUUUUGAUUAUAAUUUAAAGUCUGACCUGCCCAAUGAGGAGUUGAAUGGCCGCGGUAAUUUGACCGUGCAAAGGUAGCAUAAUCAUUAGUUUUUUAAUUGAAAGCUGGAAUGAACGGUUGGACGAGAAAAUAACUGUCUCAAUUUAAUUGAAUGUAGAAUUUUAUUUAUAAGUAAAAAAGCUUAUAUAAAUUUAAAAGACGAGAAGACCCUAUAGAGUUUUAUAGUUUUUUGUAGUAAAGAAUUUUAGUAUGUUUAUAUUUUUGAUACAGAAACCUAUUUUGCUGGGGCAGCAGAAAAAUUAACUAAACUUUUUUUAUAUAUUUUACAUUGAUUUAUGAUUUAAUGAUCCAUUUUUUAUGAUUACAAGAUUAAAUUACCUUAGGGAUAACAGCGUAAUUUUUUUUUAGAGUUCUUAUCGAAAAAAGAGUUUGCGACCUCGAUGUUGGAUUAAAAUUAACUUUUGGUGUAGGGGCUAAAAGGUUAGGUCUGUUCGACCUUUAAAAUUUUACAUGAUCUGAGUUUAAACCGGCGUGAGCCAGGUUGGUUUCUAUCUUUAAAAAAAUUAAAUAUCUUAGUACGAAAGGAUCAGGUAUUUUUAAAAUUUAGUAUAUUUUGAAUAGGAAUAAAAA
rnacentral:rRNA from 1 species